GACGAACGCUGGCGGCGUGCCUAAUACAUGCAAGUUGAGCGCUGAAGGUUGGUACUUGUACCAACUGGAUGAGCAGCGAACGGGUGAGUAACGCGUGGGGAAUCUGCCUUUGAGCGGGGGACAACAUUUGGAAACGAAUGCUAAUACCGCAUAAAAACUUUAAACACAAGUUUUAAGUUUGAAAGAUGCAAUUGCAUCACUCAAAGAUGAUCCCGCGUUGUAUUAGCUAGUUGGUGAGGUAAAGGCUCACCAAGGCGAUGAUACAUAGCCGACCUGAGAGGGUGAUCGGCCACAUUGGGGCUGAGACACUGCCCAAACUCCUACGGGAGGCAACAGUAGGGAAUCUUCGGCAAUGGACGAGAGUCUGACCGAGCAACGCCGCGUGAGUGAAGAAGGUUUUCGGAUCGUAAAACUCUGUUGGUAGAGAAGAACGUUGGUGAGAGUGGAAAGCUCAUCAAGUGACGGUAACUACCCAGAAAGGGACGGCUAACUACGUG
rnacentral:rRNA from 1 species